AGCAUGGUUAAUGCUUUGUUUGUGCUGGUUCGUAAGUUGUUUGUUUCCUACAUAAUUAUUAAUGUGGCAAUAUUCUUUGUGAAAAGACAACUGAACACACUGUACUGUACGUGUAUGCGUAAGCCCAACUCCAUGCAGCCAGUAAAACUCCAAUUCCCGUGAAGCCUCACGCCCACGUGUCAGGUGAGCCCCCGCUGCGCUCUAGUGCUGUAUUUAAACUGAGAAUGGCACGCUCUUCAGUAGUGCGCAGUCUUGCGGUGAAUAUGGAGAGGCGAGGGAGUUUCGUCGUAGAAGCGGGACAAAUUGCAAUUUCUGAGCUGUAUCUUGUGGAUAUCCUUUAUAGUUUUGGGCGCAGUCUUCGUUUUCUUCUCUUUGCGGAUGUUUAUUUUUUUUUAAAGAAGCCUUACUUUUGGAUCAAAUAUCUUUGUUUUUCUUCACUUUUAAGGAUGCAACUCUUCAUUGAUUUACUCCAUCACUGGUAUUUAUGUCACUACCACAGUUACCAGCUCGGCAUCCACGGGGUUUAUAAACAGUAUGUGAUUUGUUGUGGAUCUAACCAAACAUGGAUGAUUGUAUGUGCUCUUCGCAAUUUUUCAGCCCUUCAGCGGUAUAUAGCAUUGACCGGGCGGCGUUCUAUUCUGAAUUCUUCCACCAACUGGUUGUUGAUAGUUGCUUGGAGGUGUGCUUCUCAGGGAUACUGUAUAUACCCUCUGAAUGGCCGGGUUUCGUUGGAAUGCCUGGAAUUCUCCUCUCUCCACCUGCCCUUCUUUAUGGAAUAUGCACGGGCUUUGCUUUCACAAUUACGGUCUGUGUUCUUUCUGUUUACAUCCACUGGAGUAACACCUUUUUGGGAUUUAAUUAUUUGAUUCGGAGCGCUGCAGGAUCAUUCAAAUUAUGGGUCCAGAGAAGCUGCAGACUGUCCCAGCAGUACUAGGCACUGAAACAUCUCCUGUAUAUUACAAGGAGCACCCAGACAACUUCUGUUCAGUCUUACCUAUGAAGGGCAUCCUGACAAAACUAGCUUCAUUAGAAAGGUUUAUUUUAUCAUGGAACAGCAAAGUUGUGCAGAUUUUAACCCUGCCAUUUUAUGGAUUUUGCAUUUAGGAUUGAAUUUUUACACCUAAUUGUUCUGCACAAUCACCCCAAGUCUGUUUGAGCUUCGCCUUG